rnacentral:rRNA from 1 species
UACGUAGGGGGCGAGCGUUGUCCGAAGUUACUGGGCGUAAAGCGCGCGUAGGCGGACUUUUAAGUCGGUGGUGAAAUUCCAAGGCUCAACCUUGGAACUGCCUCCGAAACUGGAGGUCUUGAGGUAUGGAGAGGGAAGUGGAAUUCCUGGUGUAGCGGUGAAAUGCGUAGAUAUCAGGAGGAACACCCGUGGCGAAGGCGGCUUCCUGGCCAUAUCCUGACGCUGAGGUGCGAAAGCCAGGGGAGCGAACGGGAUUAGAUACC